CGACUCUGACCGCUGCGCUUCCCCGAGGCCCGCUGCUUCCAGAAGAGGGCGCGCAGAACAUGCUCAAGAGACAGAGCCUCAGUUUAUAAAGCUGGCGGCCAUAAAAGCUUGGCAGAUAUCGUCUUUAGCUUCAGGCUUCUACACUAUUUUUUCUUUCAAAACUACCAGGUUGCUUUAGAUCCUGAAGCCACUGCUGUUACCUUACCUUCGUGGUCUUGGCUCAGGAGCUCGGUGUCUGGUUGGGAGGCUGACAGUAUCAUCAGUGCUUCAGUGAAUGAACAACCAUAUGUGGAGGACAGAUAAACCACUUCUUGGCAGAUUUUAUCAUAUCUUAGGCUCUGUACCCACAGAAGAACGGUGACAGCGUGUCAUGUGAGGCAGGAAUGCCAGGCGUGUGGAAUUCUGAUCAGAACGUCCUCGCCUCCUCUUUCAAACUCCACUGUGGAGAGG
rnacentral:lncRNA from 1 species